AUGGGCAUCCUGUCCCUCAUCACCGGCAAGCCGGGCGCCAGCGGGUUCGGCUCGGGCUCCACGGCGGAGCAGGUCACCGAGGGCAUCUCCGCCGCCGGCCUCACCGUCCUCGUCACAGGAGGAUCUAGUGGCAUUGGUCUAGAGACCUCGAGAGUCUUUGCCCUGAGAGGAGCCCAUGUCAUCAUUGCUGCGAGAAACACAGAGGCUGCAUCAGAGGCAAGGAAGCGCAUCAUGGAGAUACACCCAGUAGCCCGUGUCGAUGUUCUGAAGCUUGACCUUAGCUCCCUCAAGUCUGUCAGGGCCUUCGCUGACCAGUUCAACUCCAUGAAUCUUCCUCUAAACAUCUUGAUAAAUAAUGCAGGUGUGAUGUUCUGUCCUUUCCAACUGUCUGAAGACGAAGUGGAGAUGCAGUUUGCCACAAAUCAUCUUGGUCACUUCCUACUGACCAACCUUCUCCUUGAUAACAUGAAAACUACUGCCAAGUCUACGGGUAUUGAGGGUCGCAUUGUGAACUUGUCAUCAGUUGCCCACCUCCAUACAUAUCCAAAGGGGAUUCUGUUUGAUCAGCUCAAUGACAAGAAAAUAUACAAUGAUAAAAUGGCCUAUGGACAAUCUAAGCUUGCAAACAUACUGCACGCGAAAGAGCUCUCUAGGCGGCUCAAGGAGGAAGGAGCUAACAUCACAGUUAAUUGCGUUCAUCCUGGAUUGAUCAUGACCAAUUUGAUGAGGCAUUCCUUUGCUCUCAUGAGCGAUUCAAGUUGUCACCUACUUGUUCUGGAAGAAUGUACCCCAGGUUCUUAUCUAUUCCUGGCUUUGACAAAAUUCCUAAUCCUAACAAUGACACAGCAUCUUCCUUACAAAGAACUUCGUGUUUUUUUCUUGCAGGGAGCGGCAACUACUUGCUACGUAGGCCUCAACCCUCAGCUGAAGGGGAUGACAGGCAAAUACUUUGCCGACUGCAACGAGGAGAAGACGAGCGCGCACGCGAAGAGUGACGCCUUGGCAAAGCAACUCUGGGAGUUCAGCGAGGAGCUCAUCAGAUCCGCCAAAUGA
rnacentral:rRNA from 1 species